GGGCUGCUUAUUAAUGGAAACAGUUGACAGGUCAUUAUUGUGGAGAAAGGAACCUCAGUAACUCACACGAACACAACUGUGUCUGGAGGAUAUGCACUAACCACUAGGUCACAGGUCCAACAUAUAUUCGGUAACUUUUCAGAAUAAAGGUGUGCAAGGUGAUUCAUUAACUGAUACUGAACACAUUACUCAUUGCUCAGCAUUUUUAGAGUGGCGCACUUAACCUGAACAACCUUUGUUUGCCUACUUUACAGGCUGUACAGGAAUGUGAACAGCCUCUCCUGGGAUCCAGCCUCUAUGUAAGCUAAGGAAGCAAUGGAGAAGCUCGUCCCGUCAACGAGUGGUGCCUCCAAAGCAAAGAAGCCGCAGCUGCCCGAAGAGAUGCAACAUGAGACAACUCUAGAACUGUGAUGAGCAGCCUGUGGAACCGGAGAGCGGGAGGGAUGGAGUCAGAGCAUUCCAGGGUAGAUGUGUAACAUCGCCCCCUUUGAAACAAGAGUUGACCAGAAGUGGGAACAAGGUGGAGUUUGCCUUAAAGGAAGAGCACAGCUCAUCCAGGUCCUCAAACCCUUUAAGGACACAGAAAUACAAGGCCAUGAGUGGAUCAAUGGACAAGCUGCUUGGACAAUUCUUAUAUUGUGUGCGAUUGUGAAACCAUCUCACUAACGAAGCCAAAGGUAAAGUUAAAAAACGUGAUACAGAGCAAAGAGAGGGUCAUAUCCCAUAUCCGUUCAGUCGGCAGUCAAAAGCGGAAGCGGGUCGGUAACUGUUAGACAGUGUUCUCUAUAUAGAACGUGUUAUUUAAAUGUGUCCGGUAUGUAAAGCCGUCUACUUGGAUAUGGGAUCGUGGCAGCAUUGCGCCAACUCACCUUAACUUGAGAUGGAAAUGAUCUCCAUUUACUUGAGUGCAGUCAAUGAUAUCGUACUUCAACUCAAAACUAACUGCAAGCAUUCUCUUAGAGAUCUUUAAUGCUUUGAUCAACAUUUCUAGGAGCUUAAAGUGCUCCACCUUAGUUUUCAAAGCGGAAGUAAGCUAUUUUCUGUGAAUGUCUGAGACUUCUGAUAAAAUAACUCGAAGCUUUUAAAACAUGAAAUUCCAUUCAAGCUCGAAUUUCGUGAAUACAGCUUCUUUAGAAAAGAGCUUGAAUUUAGUAGAAUUUAGAAAUGAAAUUACAUUGACAACGCAUUCUCAUACAAAACACAGUCACUAUAUAGCGUAAUAUUUCUCUUUCUAUUUCUUAUCAUUAAGUUGGUUUGGGGGAAUGAUGGUGUUCCUACAGGUAGAUCCACCUGACAGGGCUUUCUUCAAGGAGGUUUGGUGUCUCACACUUGACUGACAGGUGGCAAGUUCAGGCGGUAUAGACAGUCAUCACAAUGCCCAGCAUGAACAGCUGAGGCAUCAUGGGGGAUUUACCUCUGGCACCUGCUUCCAUUCCGAUUGUGACCACAGGGUGGAAGUAACUUUCAGUCUUUGAAUGCUUGUGCUGCCUCUCAGUUCUGUUCAUUCUGUAGAUGUUUCUCUGCCAAGCUGAUCUGAGACCAGCUUCUAUAAAAAGAGACAUAUAUAUAUAAAUUGUUAUUAUGUGAAUAUUGUGUGAAUAUCAUAUUGCGUGAAGAGGUCAAAUUUUACCCCAGAAUCAAAAGUAAAUAAAUAUCGGCCUAUAUUUUACAUAAAUUAUUUCCUAAUAUUUUAGGAAAUUUAAGACAUUAUGUGACAUUAUUUAUAAACAGUUUCAUUGUUUUACAGCAAAAAUAUUCUCAUUUCUGUAAUGUGACACAAAUCUCACUCUCAUUACUGUAAUAUAAUUUAUAAUGCCCAGAUAUGAUCAUUUAUAUAAUACUCACACACAGACACUAUUGUUGGUCAAAAGUUUGGAUGUUUUGAACAUUUAGAAAAAGCAAACAAACAAAAAAGUAAAAACAAUAAUUUUGUCAAACAUCAUUACAAUUUUAAAAUAAUGAUUUAUAUUUGAAUAUAUGUAAUGUUAUUUAUUCCUGUGAUGCAAAGCUGAAUUUAGUGCUCAAGAAACAUUUCUGAUUAUUAUCAAUGUUGAAAACAGUUGUGCUGCUUAAUGUUUUUUUUUUGUUUUUUUUGUUAAGUUAUAUACUAGAUAUUAAAUUAAAGAAGAAAGAAAGACUUCAUCACUGUUACAAACCCUAGUGAGCUGCCUA
rnacentral:lncRNA from 1 species